rnacentral:misc_RNA from 1 species
AAAGUCGUAACAAGGUAACCGUAGGUGAACCUGCGGUUGGAUCAUUAACAAAAAAUAUUGAUAGGGUUAUUAUUUAACCCUUUCUAACACCAAAGUGAAUCCUGUAGUCUUUAAUGGGUUAAAAUAUUGAUAUAUUUAUCAAUAAGCUUUUUAGUUAAAGCUACUCAUUAAUUUUUAAACACUUGUAAACUUUUAAAAAGUCAAUUCUUUAACAAAAUUAAUGUUUAAACAACUUUUGACAACGGAUCUCUAGGCUCUU